rnacentral:rRNA from 1 species
GAUGAACGCUAGCGGGAGGCCUAACACAUGCAAGCCGAGCGGUAUUUGUUCUUCGGAACAGAGAGAGCGGCGCACGGGUGCGGAACACGUGUGCAACCUGCCUUUAUCUGGGGGAUAGCCUUUCGAAAGGAAGAUUAAUACCCCAUAAUAUAUUGAGUGGCAUCAUUUGAUAUUGAAAACUCCGGUGGAUAGAGAUGGGCACGCGCAAGAUUAGAUAGUUGGUGAGGUAACGGCUCACCAAGUCAAUGAUCUUUAGGGGGCCUGAGCGGGUGAUCCCCCACACUGGUACUGAGACACGGACCAGACUCCUACGGGAGGCAGCAGUGAGGAAUAUUGGACAAUGGGUUAGCGCCUGAUCCAGCCAUCCCGCGUGAAGGACGCCGGCCCUAUGGGUUGUAAACUUCUUUUGUAUAGGGAUAAACCUACUCUCGUGAGAGUAGCUGAAGGUACUAUACGAAUAAGCACCGGCUAACUCCGUG